rnacentral:rRNA from 1 species
GAUGAACGCUGGCGGCGUGCUUAACACAUGCAAGUCGAACGGGAAACCUUUUAUUGAAGCUUCGGCAGAUUUAGCUGGUUUCUAGUGGCGGACGGGUGAGUAACGCGUGGGUAACCUGCCUUAUACAGGGGGAUAACAACCAGAAAUGGUUGCUAAUACCGCAUAAGCGCACAGGACCGCAUGGUCCGGUGUGCAAAACUCCGGUGGUAUAAGAUGGACCCGCGUUGGAUUAGCUAGUUGGCAGGGUAACGGCCUACCAAGGCGACGAUCCAUAGCCGGCCUGAGAGGGUGAACCGCCACAUUGGGACUGAGACACGGCCCAGACUCCUACGGGAGGCAGCAGUGGGGAAUAUUGCACAAUGGGGGAAACCCUGAUGCAGCGACGCCGCGUGAAGGAAGAAGUAUCUCGGUAUGUAAACUUCUAUCAGCAGGGAAGAUAGUGACGGUACCUGACUAAGAAGCCCCGGCUAACUACGUG